GACGAACGCUGGCGGCGUGCUUAACACAUGCAAGUCGAGCGGUAAGGCCCUUCGGGUACGACGAGCGGCGAACGGGUGAGUAACACGUGGGUGACCUGCCCUUAGCUCUGGGAUAAGCCGUGGGAAACUGGGUCUAAAUACCGGAUAUGACUCCAUGACGCAUGUUGUGGGGUGGAAAGCCUUGUGCGGCUAGGGAUGGACCCGCGGCCUAUCAGCUUGUUGGUGGGGUGAUGGCCUACCAAGGCGACGACGGGUAGCCGGCCUGAGAGGGCGACCGGCCACACUGGGACUGAGACACGG
rnacentral:rRNA from 1 species